rnacentral:misc_RNA from 1 species
AACGCACAUUGCGCCCUCUGGUAUUCCGGGGGGCAUGCCUGUUCGAGCGUCAUUAUGACCAAUCACGCAAGUGGUAUUGGGGCUUGCCAUCGGCAUCCCUUAAAUUUAGUGGCAGUGCUAUAGGCUCUCAGCGCAGUAAUUAUUUCGCUCUUGAGUCCUAGACACACCCGCCAAAACCCCAACUUUCUUAGGUUGACCUCGGAUCAGGUAGGGAUACCCGCUGAACUUAA